CACGUGUAGUAACCUUAGUGAAAGAGUCACAUGCUAAAGAAUCUGGUGAUUUGUUCUGUUCAAUGGGAGAUUUGCUACUCUCUGGGAACAAUGAGAGGCUAAAAAUUGGUGAAGAUAUUAAAGAUAUAUAUUUGGAUCAUCUAGCGCAACAGCUAGCAGAAUGCUUAGCACCUUCUACUGGUUUGAGUUCUUGUCUUAAAUCAAUGAUUGGUUUUCUUGAAAAUUGUACUUCUUAUUAUCAUAUUGUCAAGGAUGAGUAUGAGUUGGGAAAAAGGAAGAUUUCAGGUUCAUAUAAGCGGCACACUUUGUCCAUAAAGCCACUGAACAUUUUGGUGAUAGAUGAAGCUGCACAAUUAAAAGACUGAAUCAAUGACACCUAUGUUACUUCCAGGAAUAAGCCAAGCCAUUCUUGUUGGCGAUGAAUGUCAAUUGCCAUCCAUGGUUAGAAGCAAUGUUUGUUAUGAAGCUGGUUUUGGGAGAAGCUUAUUUGAAAGAUUGAGUUCAUUGGGUCACCCAAAGUACCUUCUCAAUAUGCAGUACAGGAUGCAUCCACAAAUAAGCAUGGUUGACCUCAAAGGAGAGACUCAGCAUUGGUAUAAUGUCUCCCUAUGCUGGCCAAGUUACUGCUAUUCAAGAGAAUCUCGGCAAGAUGUAUGAUAGGCAUAACCAUGAUGGAUUUAAUGUGGAUGUUAAGUCCAUCGAUGGUUUUCAAGGUGGUGAGCAGGAUGUUAUUAUCUUAUCAACUGUAAGAACCAACAACAGAGCAUCUCUUGAGUUCAUUGCCUCUCUGCAGAGGACUAAUGUUGCUCUUACAAGGGCUAGGCACUGCUUAUGGAUUUUGGGGAACGAAAGAGCCCUCACAAGCAACGAAAAUGUUUGGAGGGCUAUUGUGCUUGAUGCUAAGAGCCGGAAAUGUUUCUUUAAUGUGGACCGAGACAACGAAAUGACAAAAGCUAUUUUGGAUGCAAUGAAAGAGUCAGAUCAAUUUGAUGAUUUACUUGAUACAAAUAGCGUCCAUUUUAAAAAUGCAUUUUGGAAGAUAUGUGGAUCCUGGACUUAAUUUUAUCCUUGUUUUGUUGUUAACUUUUGAUUGUUCAUAGGUGUUAUUAUGUAGACAAUUUUUCUUUCUUUCUUGAAACUGUUCUUUUAAUGAGUUGUUUAACUACUCAUUAGCUGUUUAUUCUCAAUAAAUAUUUGAAUUGAUAUCCCCUAGCUUAGAAGGCAGCAAAAGCUCUGUCUCAAAUAAUCAAUGUUUGAUAACUCGUUAAAAUAGAAUAUACUAAUUAACCUCUGAUAGUUUGGUCCAAAGUUGAAGUCACUUGAUAUCGUCUAUAUAUGCAGGAUAUAUACAUUCUUAACAUUGCUGCCAAUGUAUACAUUUUCAGGUACAUUUCAGUGAUCAAUUCCUCAGAUCAUUCAAAAGACUACAGUCUGAAGCGAUCAAGAAAGAGAGGUUAUAAACUUUCUAAAAAGACUUUCUAGUGGGUGGAGACCUAUAAGGUUUAUCUCAGAUUUGUAUUGUGAAAAUUCAUCACAGAGUUUGAAACAAUUUGAGGUUGAAAGCCUUUUUAUGCCAUUUGUUCAAUAGAAAUAAUCAAAUCUUCAAGGUAUAUUCAGGUUUUGAAAAUAUGGCAUGUAUUGCCUUUAGAGGAUAUCCCACAAUUGGCUAAGCACCUUGACAAAGUAUUCACAAGAUACACUGAUGAAUAUAUCCGUAGGAACAAGUGCAAACACAAAGGCAGAGGUUUUGUUGAGAACGCAGAGUUUCCUUUGAGUUGGCCACUUUCUGCUAACAUAAAAAAAUUUAAGAAUGUUCAUAAUAUUGCAAAUUUAGGAAGAAUUUGAUGCUGAUGAAGACACAAGAUGCUGAAAGAGUAUGGUGUUGAUGAAGUACUGCUGCAUUUCAAGGAGUAACAUGGCCAUGACAGUUUAAAAGUGGAUCAUCCGUACAGCUUAACAUUAUUCCCUUCCCUAGAAGUACCACAGUUUUUUAUCACUAAGCUAAUUCAGAAUGCUUCCGAGACUGAAAUUAUAGUUUCAUAUAUAGCAAAAAGACUUUGAUA